GGGCCCGCACAAGCGGUGGAGCAUGUGGUUUAAUUCGAUGAUACGCGAGGAACCUUACCAGGGCUUAAAUGGGAGAUGACAGGGGCAGAGACGCCCUUUUCUUCGGACAUCUUUCAAGGUGCUGCAUGGUUGUCGUCAGCUCGUGCCGUGAGGUGUCAGGUUAAGUCCUAUAACGAGCGCAACCCCUACCGUUAGUUGCCAGCGAUUCAAGUCGGGGACUCUAACGGGACUGCCGGUGCAAACCGUGAGGAAGGUGGGGACGACGUCAAAUCAUCACGGCCCUUACGUCCUGGGCUACACACGUGCUACAAUGGUCGGUACAGAGGGAAGCUACCCCGUAAGGGGAUGCGGAUCUAUAAAACCGAUCUCAGUUCGGAUCGCAGUCUGCAACUCGACUGCGUGAAGCUGGAAUCGCUAGUAAUCGGAUAUC
rnacentral:rRNA from 1 species